rnacentral:rRNA from 1 species
CGCAAUCCCUCAAAAUAACCUUAAAGCUUAAGAGAAAUUCAAAUAAGGUACAGCCUAUUUGAAAAAGGAUACAACCUUCACUAACGGGUAACUUCAUUUUAUUUAACUCAGUUGGCCUAAGAGCAGCCACCAUUUAAAAGCGUCAAAGCUUAAUCAUACAUUUUAUAAAUACCUCAACCAAUACCCAACCCUUACACAGUACUGAGUACUUCUAUGCCCCCCAUAGAAAAUUUUAUGUUAAAACUAGUAAUAAGAAGCCCAUCUUCUCUCAAUGCAAGUGUUAAUCAGGCAGAAACUCGCACUGAUAAUCAACGACACCUAGUAGCAACUUCACAAGAAAACACUACUUCCCCCCCCGUAAACCUAACACAAGAGCAUUUAAAGAAAGAUCCAAAAAAAGAGAAGGAACUCGGCAAACUCUAAUCCCGCCUGUUUACCAAAAACAUCGCCACUUGAACCCUAUAAGAGGUCCAGCCUGCCCAGUGACUCUGUUCAACGGCCGCGGUAUCCUGACCGCGCGAAGGUAGCGUAAUCACUUGUCUUUUAAAUAAAGACUAGUAUGAAAGGCACCACGAGGAUUAAACUGUCUCCUCUUUCCAAUCAAUGAAACUAAUCUCCCCGUGAAGAAGCGGGGAUCCUCAUAUUAGACGAGAAGACCCUAUGGAGCUUAAAACAAACUACAUCCGCCACACUACUUUUUUCCCCCCCCCGGACCUAACCUUGUGGCACUUUGUCUAUAAGUUUUAGGUUGGGGCGACCACGGAGAACAAAACAUCCUCCAUGCUGAAACAGACCACUCCUAAGCAAAAAGUCACAACUUUUUAAAUCAAUAAAUUGACAUCUAUUGACCCAGUAUUCUGAUCAACGAACCAAGUUACCCUAGGGAUAACAGCGCAAUCUACUUCAAGAGCCCCUAUCGACAAGUAGGCUUACGACCUCGAUGUUGGAUCAGGGGAUCCUAGUGGUGCAGCAGCUACUAAAGGUUCGUUUGUUCAACGAUUAAACCCCUACGUGAUCUGAGU